CGCCGUGCACGUCCGGUUAGCACUGCGCCGAGGGGAGCAGCUCGUGGAUUCGGGAACGCAUUUCCCUCACGAGGAAUGCUCGUGCCAUAACUUUCACCACCCGCGGGCCAGACGGUAAACACGCCGCCGAGCCCUGGCAUGGCCGCCCGAAGUGACCCCGCUGCUUACGGGCGGACACGAGCAAGAUACACAAGCUGGAGGGGGGGGGGGGCUCUCCCGAAGCGAGGUGAAGUCACUCUUCCACCUACCAUAUUUGAUGUCAAAAUCAGGCGAACGUUCAAAUUCAGCAGAUUUCCCCACCGAUCCCCUUUGCGAGACAAUGAAAUCAGCUCGUCCGAUCAUCAAUUCUAAUCAUGAUUGUGACGUGUUGGCAGACAGGAGCCAAUGGGAGCCCAAGAUCAUCUCCGUGACAUUCGGAAACGGCUGAAAGCGGAGCGCCGUGGUCCCGCCCACCAUUGACUUUGUUCCGCGGGCUGCUGGAGGAGGAGGUCACAGGCAUGGGAGCCGCCGAAACUUUGGAUGGGGAAUGGUUUGUGUCCUCAUCAGCACGAAAAAGUGCCUUUCGAAAUGUUUUUUGUUAAUGUAGUCUGUUACUGAAACUGUGCUUGAUUCAGAUACAGCGGGUUUCCGUAAAUGUUGCCAACAGAGAAUUGAUAAAUAGACUGCUUCCCCAACGGGACACAUUAACGUGACACUUUGUGAUGAAUUCUAGCAAAUGUUGUGUUUCCACCACAGGAAAUGUUUGUGCUUGAUUCUUUUUUUUGUACAUUAUUAAAUGAUUGGUUCAUCAUUUACAUAGAGUUGUCAUCCUUGAACCGGCUUUGGCAUACUGCACUGAACUAUGCAAUGAAUUGUAUCCUUUUUUUAUACCAGUGAUCAACAUACUGAAAAACAAAGGGAACUGUUUUAUUUAGCAACAGAAUCACUGUAGUCCUGCAGUUCUCCUUUCAUCAUAGGUAAUGCACUCAUCAAAACAUGAUUUAUUACAGUUGUAUUAGCAUUUCUGUUGCAGUAUGACUAACAAUAUGUUUCAGGGAGGGAGACCAGGCGGUAUGAAAGUAAGUAACAGAGCAUGUAGGAAGAAUUUGGCCACAUCAAUCCAAACCACGAGGCAAAGGAGGAGGACGAGGCAGUACAUCUUCUGUCUAUGAACAUAGGUCAGCACAAAUAGUGUCACUUUGUCAGUAACAUAAACACAAGAGCAGAGUGCACAUACGUUUUAAUUUGAAGGACCAUCAGAUAUUAUUGUUGCAUUGUAGAGCAUCCCUUAAUUGUUUGAGGGUUGACAUAUCUGCACUUUGAAUAUAUAUUUUUGUUGGUUCCAUGAAACAAAUAAAGCAAGUUACCCCGUAA